rnacentral:tRNA from 1 species
ACCUGACUAGCUCAGCCGGUAGAGCAUGUGACUCUUGAUCUCAGGGUCAUGAGUUUGAGCCUCACGUUGGGCU